CCAAGAAACACGUCUGCACGUGGCAAUUUUCUGCGUGAUUUGGCAGAAUUUAUCAAAGCAGGAGCGUUCUUCCACCAACCUUACACAUAUCGCUAACCCAGACAUAGAUGUCAGAUGUACUUGCUGUCGCCAAACCUUCUUCAACUGUCAUGAUCAUGCCAGGCACAAGAACCAUAUACAGAAGAUUCUGUGACUCAGCACCACUCUAGCAAACCAGCAGUCCACUCCCCACCAAGCCCAUCCAUUUACUUUGAGGGCGCUCUUCUCUCUAGAGUCAAGAGAAAUCCUACUUUCUCAUACACUGCCAGAUGUCACUGCAGCAGGCUGCUCACUGAAUUGCAAGCUACUGAAACUCAACACUGGAUCUGAUGAGCCACCGGGAAACAGUCUGCGAUGAACAGGAGAUAUGUCUUGUUCGGAUGUCAUGGGAUGCAUUCAUCACAUGUUCCCUUCUACUAGUACAUUGGAUCUGUGCAGAAUUCUGUACAGAAUUCAGCAGCUACACCGUUGCCAGCAAGACCAGAGCUCACUUGAAUUGACUUCCUCCAAAAAUCAGUUGCCUUUAGACUCUCAAUCUCACAGUGCCAUGAGUUGCGGUUUCUCAUUUUUUGCCAGACAAGUGAAAGGUCCACAGGAACUGCUUGAAGAGCUGUGUUUUUCCUUCCAACUGGACAAAGAGUGACUCCAAGGAUGCCCAACUCUUUGAGCGUUUUGCCUUCGCCAGUCACACCAAGGGCUUCAAAGAUUGUUGAGAAAUGAUAUGGGAAAAAUACGUGUCAUACACCAGAGGUUUUUUUUGGCCAGACUCUGCUAGACUCAAAAACACUGGAUGAUUCACAUUGAUUGAUUGCAAUCUGGCAGAAACUUUUGAAGACCUCUUUGGAAAUGGAAGCCUCUUUUGAAAUGGAACUCUCGUGAAAUAGAACUCUCAUGAAAUGGAACUCUUGUGAAAUGGAACUCUCUUGAGCUUGAACUAUAUUGGCAUGGAACGUUUUUGAAAUGGAACUCUUUUAACAAGAAACUCUUUUGAAAUGGAACUUUAUUGAAUCAGAACUCUUUUGAGAUGGAACUCUUUUGAAAUGGAACUCUUUUGACACGGAACUCUGUUGAAACGGAACUCUUUUGACAUGGAACUCUUUUGACAUGGAACUCUUUUGCAAUGGAACUCUUUUGGAUUGGAAAUCUUUUGACACGGAACUCUUUUGAAACGGAACAUUUUUGAAACGGAACUCUUUUGAAACGGAACUCUUUUGAAAUGGAAGUUCUUAUAUUUAAGAAGUAGAGGUCUCUCUUUCCUUAAGUUCACUAGAGGUCUUCAGAAAUCACCUCUGUGGCCUUUAUGCUGAAUGGGUUGCCUUUGGUAACCACAGUUUGAAAGACUUCAAGAAUAUUGAAAAGCUGAUGCAAAAUUUGUCGUUCACAACAUUUGAUGAUAAAUUAGCAGAAAAGUCAUCAUGAAAAAAAAAACCAUUUGGACAUGAUUCUCUAAAAUAUUGUCUGCAAAGAAAAUUGUGGCACAAAAGCCUUCAAACCAUAACAUUCUUUUGGUGAAUCUACAUGUAUGAUUGAUGGCACUCAUACAUGUAGCUGAGAUCAAAUCAAACCACAGUUCAUGAAGAUGGAGGAGAGGCCUCUACAAAUGACACGUAACCAGCCUCUCACAGCAGUCAGUUGUUCAGGCACGGUUCAUAAAAGUGAUUAGGCACUAGUUUCAUUGACCAUAUUCCGUUCUGUUCAUUAGCUUGAAAUGAUCACUUAUUGCAAAAAAAGGACAGUUUGAGCGCUGCAUUUCAAUUUCCUAAAGUUGCAUUCUUUUUUGGUGCAUUCUUGAAAGAAUCAAACAAUUUCUUGGACAAGAUUCGCUAAAACCAAGGACUGCUCAAAAUGCAGAAAAUCCUCACGUAGAGAAAUGUUUAUGAUACAAUGUUUAUAACAGAGAGAGAGCUGGUUACGUUGAAUUGAAGUUUUAAUCUGAAACAUUUCUUUAUGACAUUGCCUGAUUGGUAUUAUAGCUGGGUGCAAGAUUGGUUUCUCUCGAACAAAAUUCUUUAAAAACAAACUAUGUUUGCACACAAUUUGAACCCACUUCUUUGAACCAAACUUUUGAUAUUUGCUUUAUUGAACCCAAAAUCUCUCAUUUAGACUAAAAUUUGGUUCAAAUUUAAAUCAAAAACUGUUUUAAAUUCCCCGAAUCCGAAUUUCCUUGCAUUAAAACUAUGAGCUGGAAAUACUCUGUCAAAAAUCCAAUAUUGCCAACAAAUAUACAAAAUUAACUUUUUGUUUCUACAUGUACAUGUAUAUCUUCAAAUUUGUCUUCAGAAAUGAGUUUUCAAAAUCGUUGAUGCAUUUUCCAGUACAUCAUAACUUAGCUACCUACUAUCAGCAGCCAUGCCAAUCUUGUACCCAGCUUUUGUUUAUCAAGUAUAGCCAGCACUGGUCCAAUGUAGAAAGACAAAGUUUGGCUGUGAAUGAAAAAUAUUGGUGUUAAUCACACAUGUUCCAAAAAGUUGCAAACUGUGAAUUUUCAAUUUCAAAGCGAAAACCUCAGAAAAUCACAAAUAUAACUGUUAUUUGGACAAUUUCCUUUUCACGAAGCUGUUUUUGCACAAGUGCACAUGUUGACUACCUCAAAAAAGCAGUUUUUACUUGUUCAUGUGUCAAGCAAUACAAAAACAAAUGCUAACCACUGUUCAUUACUUACUGAGAGCCAAUGAUCAAAACUUUAUCCUCGCUCUAAAAAAUGAACAGAAAAAAAUGAUGCUUCCGGUGCUGGCUGUACAUAUAUGUACAUUACAUAGUCUUUUAUGAUAAUUUGUUGAGUAACCAACCAAUAUACUUGACAUUUUACCAACAGGCAAUGUUCUGAUACACUUGAGCCCAACGCAUGCAAGUCCCCCCGGGGCGUGCACGUGUGGUGUUCCCCGCCCGCAGAUGCCGGCUCGUCUGGUGAGUUGCCCCUGUCUGCAUUGACGAGUGGUUGGUUGUUCAAGGUGUGUGCUAGCUUCCUGAUCUUGUGGUCUGGAUAAUCGUGGAUGACUUGGUCGACUUCAACAUGGUAAGGAUCCUUUUGAACUUUGACAAUUAGUUUGCCUUUCUGCAAAGGAGAUGUCUUUUUGGCUGUUUCUUUACCGAGUGUUGCUGUGGAAAUUAUGUACCAUCUAUCACUCUGGAGAUUGCAAAUCUAGGGAUCAAUCGAGCAUCUACUCUUGAUGUCCCGCUUGCAUUUCAAUAGUUCCAUGGCGUCAUGUUGAUCCAAAUGAUCUGCUAACAAAUGGAUACUGUUGUUGGUAUAUCUGAUGUUCUUCAAUGCGGUUUGAUUUUCGGACAGGUGUUUCAGCCGCUAUUUAUGUGAAUAACUUCCAUGGUAUAACUCUGAAAUCUCAUUGCCUUUUAUUGUGUCAUCAUGUACAAUCAGUUCUCUCAUAGAGUGUGUUCAAAUCUUAGACAUGCACGGAUAAAAAUAAGGAAAUAUCAAAAGGAAAUCGUUAAAAUUAACUGAAUCAAACGUCAAAUCUGCUCUAAAUUCAGCAUCUGAUGUGUCACUUUAAAAAAAUGAGUUUGCCAAUAAUAUUUGUGUUUUUGGCAGCAUAUGAAUCUUAACUUGAUAAACAUAAGCGAGCGAUAUACAAAAUUCCCAAAUUUAAAAAAAGGCAGCUUCUCUGCCUGAAAUAUUCAAAAUGCGAAAUUUUGGUGUCGUAAAAAAAAAGAGAAAAAACUGAAGGAGAAAAUCAUCCUCACUUCAAAGCAACUUUAAAAGAGACUUUUAAAAAUUCAAUGCUCUUUUAAAAACACAAAGGAGUCAAAUUCUCAUUCAAUUAAAAAAAGCAAAGAAUGGGCUAUUGCCAUCAUAUUUAUCGUCAAAACUGCUGUACGAAAGAAAGAACGGAGAGAACAUUUUAAGAAACUUUGAAAAAAAAAGGAGAGAAGGCCAAACUCUUCAAAUUGUAGGGGAUAAGUCCUGGUGUGCAGAGGGGGAGAACCAUGCUGUUUCCUGGCCAGAUGGAAGAUGUGGUGGACAAAAAAAGCCCCCUGCAUCCUAACAAAUAGAAGCUGUGGUGUCAGACACAGGGAGCCAGUCCUGCCAGAUGGUUCCAUGGUAAGUUUAAUUGAAGUUUGUAGAAUGAAUUCAUGCACUGUGUACAUCCUCAUUGCUUGCUAAACCCAACAGUAAAAUGUGUAUCUCAUGGCUAGGAGUAAACGCUAUCUGUCUGCAUUACAGGAAAACAGUAUUGUGCAUUAUAGUCUUCAGUCUGUGGCAAUACCAAUUAGCCUCAAUCUGGCGCUUGAAAAAAUAGAGUAAGAGAAACGAAAUGUCAGCUUUUUGUCAUCUGUAGUCAAAGUUGGACGAAGGCUUUGACAUGACAAUUCUAGGAACUGAUCGACUAACUUUUGAUAUUGCCGAAGAGAUGUCAACACUCUUCUCAUGAGUGCCCAUUGAGUCCUACAAUCAUACAGAGAUGCAACCAGUGUACUGGUGCGCAAACAUCUCAACCAAUCUCAGUAAACUUUCUCGACACUCGCUGCAAGCACUCAAAGUGCUGCUACUCAACUCAUGAUCAAAUGUUCUGACCUCUGCACUCCAAUCCUAUGAUUGGAUAAAACCUUGGGCUUGAGCAAUCACUGCAGCCCCCCAUAGAUUCAUCACCUACCUGAUAGGUGGUUGCAUGGGGAAAUCCCCUGCCAAGUCUGUUUAAGAGGAUCUUUUGUUAUCACGACUUUGUGAUCUGAGCUGCUCACUUGUCUGCAGUGAUCGAGAGCCAUAUCAAAGUGUGCUCUUGAGCAAUUGGAAAUUAACGUGCACUUUCAAAGAAGCCUUGGAAAUCUAGGCUUGCAAUAAAAGCAGUUCUAUCUUUGUUUAAUAUUGACACAGAUUAAGCUGAAAAGCCUUGAAGCAAAAGCUCUUUUCAGAUGCACGACUCCUUUCAGCACAAAACUGAAAUUGUUUCAUUCUCAUUCUCUGUCAGUAUGCAUUUUUUUAAGUGAGAAAUGAGACGUUAAAACAAAGGCCGUGCCAUUGUGUCCACCUGUUAGUAUUCGUUAUUCAACUGAUUUUAAAAACUAAGAAGAAGACAUUUAACUUUGAAUGUCUUUGAGAGUCCUGGAAGAUCUUCACCUUAGCUUUGACUUUAAAUCAAAGCUUUGAAAUACUCAGUUUUAUUUUGUCUUAUUGGCCAGUUUGCACCUUUGCACGCUACCUCAGAAAAGAAAAUUCAGUGUUGUACACUUCCAUGCAGAAGAAAGUUAUCCUAUGCUCUAAGUGUACCGGUACUAGAACAUGAACCUGAAAACUAUCCCUGUAAGUCGUUUGUGUUCAACAUCUCAUCAGAGAGCAGUAAUUGAAUACAAGUCUGAUAUCUGACAAUUGUAAAUCUUCCUGCAAAGAAGUCAAACAUUGAGUAGAUUUUACAGAACCUACCAUAAAGUUGGUCUGCUCCGAGUUAGACCAAAUUGGUGCCACUUGCCAAGAAACAAACACUCACAAUUGUGAAUCUUUGAAAAGGUUGCUGAAACCAAUCUGACAUUGAAAUUAAUUUAUCUUGUCUCACUAGCAGAGGACUAAAAUUUAUUUCUCACUAUCUCAUGACUUUGCCAAAAUAAAAAGUGCAAAGUGAUAUCGCACUUUGCAUCAAACUGACACACUUGAAUCUAAUUUUAACUUGACCAAAACUGAAAUUCUAGAAAUAUGGUCUUUGGGGCGUAACGGUAGUGUGUCAUUUGUCAAAUGAGGUGAAGAUCUUUCAGGACACAUGUUGGUAUUGCCACAGACUGAAGACUAGCUAUGCUCCAUGCUUUAACCCUUUAGUGACCACACUUCUCUCGGUGUGCAACGCUACUUCUCCACGUGCAUUUUCCAGACUGAAGAAGACUAGGCUGGUAUUGUGAAUUGGGACUUAUUUGAAUGCUAAACCAACU
rnacentral:lncRNA from 1 species